AAUAGAUACCCUGGUAGUCCACGCCGUAAACGAUGGAUGCUAGCUAUUGGGGGGAAUCGACCCCCUCCGAAGCGAAGCUAACGCGUUAAGCAUCCCGCCUGAGUAGUACGAGCGCAAGCUUAAAACUCAAAGGAAUUGACGGGGACCCGCACAAGCGGUGGAGCGUGUGGUUUAAUUCGAUGGUAAACGAAGAACCUUACCAAGGUUUGACAUCCCGGUAGCCGUUCUCCGAAAGGAGAAUUUCAUUUAGUUGGACCGGUGACAGGUGAUGCAUGGCCGUCGUCAGCUCGUGUCGUGAGAUGUUGGGUUAAGUCCCGCAACGAGCGCAACCCUUAUGAUUUAGUUGGAUUUUUCUAAACAGACUGCCCUGGUAACAGGGAGGAAGGAGGGGAUGAUGUCAGGUCAGUAUUUCCCUUACACCUUGGGGCGACACACGCGCUACAAUGGCCGGUACAAUGGGCAGCUAAGCCGCGAGGUGGAGCAAAUCCCAUCAAAGCCGGUCCCAGUUCGGAUUGCAGGCUGAAACCCGCCUGCAUGAAGCCGGAAUCGCUAGUAA
rnacentral:rRNA from 1 species